UACGUAGGGUGCAAGCGUUGUCCGGAAUUAUUGGGCGUAAAGAGCUCGUAGGCGGUUAGUCGCGUCUGCUGUGAAAACUCGGGGCUUAACUCCGGGCCUGCAGUGGGUACGGGCUGACUAGAGUGCGGUAGGGGAGACUGGAAUUCCUGGUGUAGCGGUGAAAUGCGCAGAUAUCAGGAGGAACACCGGUGGCGAAGGCGGGUCUCUGGGCCGUAACUGACGCUGAGGAGCGAAAGCGUGGGUAGCGAACAGG
rnacentral:rRNA from 1 species